ACGGAGGGUGCAAGCGUUGCUCGGAAUUACUGGGCGUAAAGGGCACGCAGGCGGCCCAUCAAGUCGAGUGUGAAAUCCCUGGGCUCAACCCAGGAACUGCAUUCGAAACUGAUGGGCUUGAGUCCGAGAGAGGGUGGUGGAAUUCCUGGUGUAGAGGUGAAAUUCGUUGAUAUCAGGAGGAACACCGGCGGCGAAGGCGGCCACCUGGCUCGGUACUGACGCUCAUGUGCGAAAGCGUGGGUAGCAAACAGG
rnacentral:rRNA from 1 species